rnacentral:lncRNA from 7 species
CCGCAGAAGCUUCUGGAGUUGGUGUUUUACCCCAAGAUGUGUUUUGAUAUUGAUGGCAAAGCUAAAAAGGGGAGAGCCUUAAAAGAAAGAAGCAGAAGCUUGCAGCUAAAUGUGGACAUCAUUAUCACAUUUUUAGUGACUGACUUUCCGGACGAGAGAAGAAACCUCAUGUGCCCUGCUUCAAAUGCUGCUGUUUACCUUUCAUAACUGCCUGAAUCAACAAGAUGGAUAAAUAUUUUUCUGUCAUGACGGGAUGAGAGAAAGAUGGAAAGAACAACAUGUGACAGAGACAUCCAUUACUGCUGCAUCUGAGUAAACAAGCAACCAUUUCCCAGCAGAAGGCACAGAUAGGUCUGUGUUCCCCUGGGCAGUGAGGGAGGAAAUAUCAAAACCAGAGUGAUCUAACUCCACCCCUGUGAACACCGGGACACAACCCUUUGUUCAUGCAUUCACUUCACUGCAUCCUGGAUUUUUGGACUUUCAUUUACGUGAAAGAUUGUGAAAGAACAAGUUCUCUGAACUGCCCAAACUGCUCUUCUUUGGUUGGCUCCGCUCAGCACAGCAGAAGACGGGGCUUAUGUGAGACAUGUUUUGGAAUAGCCCAGGCAAAAGAAAAACAGAAGGCCAUGUGGAAUAUCAUCAGCAGUAGCAGUUCUUUCCUUUCUACACGUACAUUAGGCAUACAAGCUUUGUCUCUCUCACCUAAGUGGAACUGCAUUUCUGAUUAUGCCAAUAAAGCAUGUCUUCUCCAAGUCAAGAAUUUUUUGUCAGAAUAUUUAUAUUGGAGUUCAAAGACAGAAGCACCACUACUCUCUUUCUGAAUGCUGAAAUACUGUUACCAUUUCCCACUUUCAAAAGGAUAUGUGUAGCUGGACCUACUACUUAAGAUGUCCAUUAUUAGUCCUUAAAAUAGUUUUUGCAGUAACCCACCUGAUAUUCACCAAGAAGAAAUGGCUCUUUUUGAUUUUAGAUAGCCCUACCUUUUCUCAUUGAGUGCCAAAAGAAAAGCCAACACAUACAAAAUACAACAGUGGAAGAUUUCAUCAAUACAGGAAUAAACCACCCUUUUGGAGGAAAAAGAAAGUAUGUCUUUUGCUUAAAUCUACUUAUAUUUUCUCCUAAAAUACUCUUCAGUAUUCAAGGUGUAAUCACUGCUUUUCAGAAUGCAUUUGAAACAAAAAUAUUAAAUAUUUGUGUAAUAUGUGACUUUAUUUAAAACCUUCUGGGUCCCUUCAUGAACAAUGUUUCUUCAACAGCUUAGGAGGGUUUGAAUCUCUUUUCACUUGUGAUGAAAUUGUGUAAAUUUGCAGGUUUCAUGGCUGGUCGUUUUUUUAUUCAUGCCAGUGUAAGGGCUUCAUCCAAAGACUACUGUAUCACUGAAAUAAUUUUGAUUAACUUCCACCGGCUUUAGAUAAAGGCAUAAAUGAAA